rnacentral:rRNA from 1 species
CUGGAUAGGAUUAUGAUGAUGACAUUACCUAUCUACAUGUCUUGACCAAGUCACGUGCCAGCAGUCGCGGUAAUACGUGGUAGACUAGUGUUAUUCAUCUUUAAUUGGUUUAAAGGGUACUUAGACGGGAAAUUAAGCCCCCAACAGGGUACUAAUUUUCUAGAGUUUUAUGCGAGAGGGGGUGUAUUGAAGAGUGUAGAGAUGAAAUUUUUUAAUACCUUCUGGAACAGUCAACGGCGAAAGCAACCCUUUAUGUAAAAACUGACGUUGAAGGACGAAGGCUUGGUGCACCAACAGGAUUAGAGACCCUAGCAGUCCUAGCAGAAAAUUAUGAAUGUCAUAGAUUAGAUUAGAUUGUUAAUUAGAGUAUUCAAGUACUCUAAUUGUAAACAAUACCUCGCUAUUUUUAGCCAGAUAUUAAUUUUUGUCUAUAAAUGAAAGUGUAAGCAUUCCACCUCAAGAGUAAUGUGGCAACGCAGAAACUGAAAUCAUUAGACCGUUUCUGAAACCAGUAGUGAAGUAUGUUGUUUAAAUUGAUGAUCCACAAAAAACCUUACCACAAUUUGUAUAUUAUUUAUAAUACAAGAGUUGCACGGCUGUCUUCAGUUAAUGUCGUGAGAUUUUGGUUAAUUCCAUUAAUUAACGUAAACCCUUGCUUUAUUUUUUUUAUAAAGUAGUUCACCGCUAUAUUGGAUUAGAUAACAGGGAAUAAGACAAGUCAUCAUGACCUUAAUAUUGUGGGCUAU